UGAGGAAUAUUGGUCAAUGGGCGCGAGCCUGAACCAGCCAAGUCGCGUGAGGGAAGACGGUCCUAUGGAUUGUAAACCUCUUUUGUCGGGGAGCAAAGAAGUCACGUGUGACUAAAAGUGAAAGUACCCGAAGAAAAAGCAUCGGCUAACUCCGUGCC
rnacentral:rRNA from 1 species